rnacentral:rRNA from 1 species
AUUGAACGCUGGCGGCAGGCCUAACACAUGCAAGUCGAACGAGUGGCGGACGGGUGAGUAAUGUCUGGGAAAAUGCCUGAUGGAGGGGGAUAACUACUGGAAAAGGUAGCUAAUACCGCAUACCAUCAGAUGUGCCCAGAUUGGAAUUGCGUGUUGGUGGGGUAACGGCACACAAAGGCGACUAUCCCUAGCUGGUCUGAGAGGAUGACCAGCAACACUGGAACUGAUAACCGGUCCAGACUCCUACGGGAGGCAGCAGUGGGGAAUAUUGCACAAGUGGCGCAAGCCUGAUGCAGCCAUGCCGCGUGUAUGAAGAAGGCCUUCGGGUUGUAAAGUACUUUCAGCGGGGAGGCGUGACCCGCAGAAGAAGCACCGGCUAACUCCGUGCCAGCAGCCGCGGUAAUUC